GUUCCUGUAGUUGAGAUUUGUCAAUGGCGGCUUUUCAAGCCGUAGACCUUGGAGAGAGGCCAAGCAGGAAUA
rnacentral:tRNA from 1 species